ACGGGCUUUGGAUGGCAAGCCCCUGUGACAGGUGUCCCAUGCUUUCGUGCAGCGCGGCGUCUUGCGCUGGAGGGCUUUGGGAUUGCUCCUUCACGGGGGCUUUCUCAGGGUUAUCUGCGCGAUUGCGUGUUUUCCCACACCCAGUGAAACCACUGAGUUGUGCCUCGCGGUGCAGCCAAACCAAUCUCUGAAGGACUGAUUGCCACACAUUGGCGGUCACAAACGAAAACAACUCUCAACAACGGAUAUCUUGGCUCUCGCAACGAUGAAGAACGCAGCGAAAUGCGAUACGUAGUGUGAAUUGCAGAAUUCCGUGAACCAUCGAAUCUUUGAACGCAUAUUGCGCUCAAGCCUUCGGGCAAGAGCAUGUCUGCCUCAGCGUCUUUUUAACCCCUCACACCCCUAUCUUUGAUAGAGCCAAGCUCAAGCGGCUUGCUGGUGUGGAUUUGGCUUCCCCAAUUGGCCCAUUUGCUGAUUGGGUUGGCUGAAGUGCAGAGGCUUGAGCAAGGACCCGAUAUGGGCAUCAACUGGAUAGGUAGUGCCAGCCAACCGGCUGUCUACACGAAGUUGUUGCCUGUGGACCUUGCUGGAGGCCAGCAGGAAGCACGCUUUCGGCGUGAUUCAACUUUGGACCUGAGCUCAGGCAAGAUUACGGACUGAACUUAAGCAUAUCAAUAAGCAGGAGGAAA
rnacentral:rRNA from 1 species